GUAAAAGUCGUAACAAGGUUUCCGUAGGUGAACCUGCGGAAGGAUCAUUAUCGUACAAUCGAGGUGCAAGGGCUGUCGCUGACCUUCAAAGGUUGUGCACGCUCAAGCACUCUCACACAUCCAUCUCACCCCCCUUUGUGCAUCACCGCGUGGGCCCUCCUUAUGCAAGGAGGGCUUGCGUCUUCACAUAAAAUUUGAUACAGUGUAGAAUGUUAUUCUUUUCUUUUUUUUGCGGUCACACGCAAUCAAUACAACUUUCAACAACGGAUCUCUUGGCUCUCGCAUCGAUGAAGAACGCAGCGAAAUGCGAUACGUAAUGUGAAUUGCAGAAUUCAGUGAAUCAUCGAAUCUUUGAACGCACCUUGCACCCCUUGGCAUUCCGAGGGGUACACCCGUUUGAGUGUCGUGAAAUCAUCAAAAAGCCUUUUUCCCUUUGAUCUUUUCUUGGUCAGGAAAAGAGGAUUUUUUUUGGACUUGGAGGUUCCAUGCUUGCUUUCACCUUUGAAAGUGAGCUCCUCUCAAAUAAAUUAGUGGGGUCCGCUUUGCUGAUCCUUGAUGUGAUAAGAUGUUUUCUACAUUUUGGAUUUAGCACUGUCCCUUGGAUGCCUGCUCCCAACUGUCUCUUGGACAAUGAUGGUGCUUCGGUCCUUGCCACCAAUCUACACUGGCGAGGGGCUGAACCCACAAAAGAAAAAACCUUGACCUCAAAUCGGGUGAGACUACCCGCUGAACUUAA
rnacentral:rRNA from 1 species